GAUGAACGCUGGCGGCGUGCCUAAUACAUGCAAGUCGAGCGAACAGACGAGGAGCUUGCUCCUCUGACGUUAGCGGCGGACGGGUGAGUAACACGUGGAUAACCUACCUAUAAGACUGGGAUAACUUCGGGAAACCGGAGCUAAUACCGGAUAAUAUAUUGAACCGCAUGGUUCAAUAGUGAAAGACGGUUUUGCUGUCACUUAUAGAUGGAUCUGCGCUGCAUUAGCUAGUUGGUAAGGUAACGGCUUACCAAGGCAAGCAUGCGUAGCCGACCGGCGAGGGUGGUAGGCCACACUGGAAGUGAGACACGGUCCAGACGCCUGAGGGAGGCAGCAGUAGGGUAUCGUCCGCAAUGGGCGGAAGCCUGACGGAGCAACGCCGCGUGAGUGAUGAAGGUCUUCGGAUCGUAAAACUCUGUUAUUAGGGAAGAACAAAUGUGUAAGUAACUAUGCACGUCUUGACGGUACCGGGUCAGAAAGCCACGGCUAACUACGUG
rnacentral:rRNA from 1 species